rfam:Cavia porcellus supercont2_15 genomic scaffold, whole genome shotgun sequence.
GGAUGUGAGGACAUCCAGCUGUGACAUCUGUCACCCCGUCCAUCCCAGGGAUGACUGGCCAAUCCGGCUGGCUAGCCAGUGUCCACUCCGGCCCUCACUGCUCACGUGCGUCCCUGCUAAGACUGUGAGCUCAGUGGAAAGGGAUGACCACGACCACCCACGAUGGAGCAGGACCACUUCCUGGGGCCGGGGUGCACGUAUAGCCACACUCUCCUGCCAGAACCUCCAAACCAGCUCUGCAGAGUAUACUUCCGGGAGGAGAGGUCUGCGCACCCCCAGGGGCUGGUCACACCCU